AGCAGUCCGAGGUUUUCGAGUGUGUUGCAGGAGACUUCCCUGAGCAGCAACCUGGUGAAGGCAAGUAUCCUCUGACCCAUUAUGUCCUAUUUACUUUAUAAUUCACUAUCCUACAGUACAUAAUUAAAACCUAAGGAUUGACUAGCUUUGUAUUUACCUUAUCCUUGAUUACCUUUUGGGUUAUUAUGGUUAGCUUCAUGCUAUUGCUUUACUUUAAUCAAUGAACAUGAUGAGAACAUUUAUGAUACGAUGAUGUUUUCUGGAUUAUGAUGAUGAACUUGUGAUACUUUAGGGGACUCAGGCUAUUUCCUAAGUACCUCUCCGUAAGGACCUGUUCAUUGAGAGACCACCCAGGAUAACAGUACAACCAUGAGGGUGGAAUGGGAUGCCCUUAGCUGAUUAAUUGGAUGAACUUGGGGGUGUAGUUGGCUUUGACGUAGGGCUAUCAAUGGGGGUCGGGGCAUAGUGCUUGCUCUGCUAAGGGUGGGUGCCAAGGUUCAUUCGAUUUGGUUUUGUUAGUCACCCACCUUAGGGAGGAGUACUGUGUUUGUACGACUGACGAAACCUAACGAGCAACUGCACACUAGGGGAAUUUUUGUAAAUGCUACGUAGUGAUACCCUGUCAGGCCACCUAGGUAGUGGUCAAUGGGGAGUAGCGCUCUCUGGGCAAAAAGGGAAUCAUGGCUCGUGGGUAAAGUGUGCGACCUCUGCAGAGUGUUAGGAGCUGGUAUAUCAGCCAUGCUCGCGGUUAUGAGCAGCCUUGUGAUCCUCUUUGAUUAGUAUAACUUGGAUACUUUUAUGAUGAUGGUAAAUGGUGAUAAUUAUAACUAUGGUUUCUGGUAUUUCCUUAUGGGGGGAGUACUUUUGAGUAAUAACUGGGUUUAUUAGUAAAACUUGGCUUACUACUAGUAAUAACUGGGUUUAUUACUAAGCCUUUGUGAUCCUCUUUAAGCUUAACUCCACAUACAGCUAGUCCACUUUAGCCAAACAGGACAUUUACUGAGUACGUUGAUGUGUACUCACCCUUGCUUUAAAAACCACCCUACCCCAGGUUGUCCCCAUUGCAAUCAGUGCUCAAGAGAAGAUGAAAGCAACAUGGAGGUCUUUCAGGAGUUUCAGGACUUCGAUGAGUUCUAGUCGUGUUUAGUGGCAAACGCCCAGUCAGCUGCCUGUGAAGGCCUUAUCAUUCUACGUUUCAUAUCCGCACUUUGAUUAUGAUAAUGACUUUAGUUAAUGACUCUGUG
rnacentral:lncRNA from 1 species